rnacentral:rRNA from 1 species
UUUAUUCUGCUCAGGAUGAACGCUGGCGGCGUGCCUAAUACAUGCAAGUCGAGCGAACAGAUAAGGAGCUUGCUCCUUUGACGUUAGCGGCGGACGGGUGAGUAACACGUGGAUAACCUACCUAUAAGACUGGGAUAACUUCGGGAAACCGGAGCUAAUACCGGAUAACAUAUUGAACCGCAUGGUUCAAUAGUGAAAGGCGGCUUUGCUGUCACUUAUAGAUGGAUCCGCGCCGUAUUAGCUAGUUGGUAAGGUAACGGCUUACCAAGGCAACGAUACGUAGCCGACCUGAGAGGGUGAUCGGCCACACUGGAACUGAGACACGGUCCAGACUCCUACGGGAGGCAGCAGUAGGGAAUCUUCCGCAAUGGGCGAAAGCCUGACGGAGCAACGCCGCGUGAGUGAUGAAGGUCUUCGGAUCGUAAAACUCUGUUAUCAGGGAAGAACAAAUGUGUAAGUAACUGUGCACAUCUUGACGGUACCUGAUCAGAAAGCCACGGCUAACUACGUGCCAGCAGCCGCGGUAAUACGUAGGUGGCAAGCGUUAUCCGGAAUUAUUGGGCGUAAAGCGCGCGUAGGCGGUUUUUUAAGUCUGAUGUGAAAGCCCACGGCUCAACCGUGGAGGGUCAUUGGAAACUGGAAAACUUGAGUGCAGAAGAGGAAAGUGGAAUUCCAUGUGUAGCGGUGAAAUGCGCAGAGAUAUGGAGGAACACCAGUGGCGAAGGCGACUUUCUGGUCUGUAACUGACGCUGAUGUGCGAAAGCGUGGGGAUCAAACAGGAUUAGAUACCCUGGUAGUCCACGCCGUAAACGAUGAGUGCUAAGUGUUAGGGGGUUUCCGCCCCUUAGUGCUGCAGCUAACGCAUAAGCACUCCGCCUGGGAGACUCGAC